GCAAGUCUAUGGCACACUCAUCAGGGCAAAUGCCACUGACUAGUUCUGAAUGGAAAUUUUGAGCCCUUGCAUAAUCCACUGUAGUCGAUACACUGCAGCAGGUAGAGUAACUGUUAGAGUAUUUUGCUGGUGUAGUUCAGUUUUAAAGCUUAGAAGGAUCUGGGUUGGGACAGAGUACUAGAAAUUACCUGGCCACAUAAAAAUCUGCUCCGGCACAUGGGCUCUAAAAUAACAGAAAAUUAAUUCAGCAGAAUUCUCCAAAGCCAUAACAGACCAUGUCUCAACACGAAUAAGAAAGCCUCCUCCAAAAGCGGCAAACAAAACUUCUUCGGCCACAAAACAACCACCUUGCCUGAGGCCAAGCGGACGGGCCUACAAGACGGAGCUGUGACAGACGAAUCUAGCAACAUUGUGGCUGCACUGAAUACACCACCGCACUCUGAAAACC